CCGGCGCUCUCCGUGCCCCCUCCCGCCGCUGCUCGCGCAAAGUGACGGUCGCCCCACUCACCUUUCCUAGGACAUGGUGGGGAGGCUGGGGCGGACGGAGGGGGACAGAGAGGCACCCGCCGCCGCCGCCGCCGCCCCCACCAGCGAGUCCCACGCGAGGCGCCCGGCAGUGAGGAUGGAGAGGAAGAGAAUCCCGGCGGUCGCCCUACUGACGGUGGGAAGAGCGACGGAGCAGGAGAGCUGGGACCCCGCGGGGGACGGCGGCGCCAGAGAGCGCAGAGGGGGUCGUGGGCACCCGCCCGCCCCCUGCAGGCCCCUGUCCCCCGGCUCCUCGUUCUCCACAGCGCUGGUGCCGCCAGCGACCUGGGAGCCGGUCACUCCGGCCGCCCGUCACUCCGGCCGCCCGGCUGGCGGCGCCCCCUGCCCGGGCCUGGGGCGGCCAGUGACGGCUCGGCGGCGGCCGAGCGUGCGUGCGUGCGUGCGUGUGUGCGUGCGUGCGUGCGUGUGUGCGUGCGUGUGGGGGCGGCCGCAGGGGGAGCCCGCGGCGCCACGGCCCCCUCCCCGGGUCACACCCUCACGGCCGGAGGGAGGCAGCGCGGCGUCCGGCCUCCGGGGUGGAAACGGGCCGAGGGGCGCCGGUGACCGCCCUCGGAACCCCAGCCGCUGACAGCUAGGAGGCCGAGAGGAAACGGAGCCCAAAUGCACGCACCCCCUCUCCGCGCCCCCCAAGUCCGGCCCCGACCUCGCGCCGGGCCUCAGGAAACCAUAAAGUAACCUCACAAGUAAAUGUGGACUGCUCAGCUGCCCAAAGUAUGGGGAAUGGGAAUCUGAAGGACCAGUACUGUGGCACUUGAGAUGCAGGUCAAGAAUUCAAGACCUGAAGACAUAAACACAUUAAUCCACAACCCUCUAUGGACUAGCACUUAGGUAACUUAAAAAAAAAUUAAGUUUAUUGGUACAUUUUAGGUAUACAUUAUGAUCCCAUUCAUCAUUGGGAAUUUGUACCCGUACAUGAUAUAUCUUGGUUCUUGUUUUUUCCCAUUUCCCUCUCCUCUCUUCUACCCCUCCACCCCUCACCCCUCCCUAUUUACAAAAGCUUUGUUUCCAUUUUUUUCUUUUCUCAUUUUUUUCUUUCUCUUCUUUCCUUUCCCCCACCUCCUUUCCUAGUUCCCCUUCUCCUUUGAAAUUUUUCUUCCUAUUUAUAUUAUCUGUUAUACAUUUUUGUUCUCACUUACACUUUUGGCUUCUCACACCAGAGAAACUAUUCAGUAUGUACACAUGUGUGUCCGAUUUAUUUCACUAAAGAGUACGGGCUCAAGGUGCAUCCAUUUAGCCAUAAAUGUCUCUGGUUUAUCUUUCUUUCUGGCUGAGUAGUACACCAUUUUGUAAAAAACCCCACAUCUUCUUUAUCCAGUCACCAAUUGACAGGCCUUUGAGCUGUUGCCAAGAUUUAGCUAUUACAAACUGCGCCACUGUAACAUGUGUGUGCAUAUAUCGCUGUGGUAUGAUGCUUUUAAUUCUUUUGGGAAGAUACCCAGCAGGGG
rnacentral:lncRNA from 1 species